rnacentral:tRNA from 1 species
GGCUCAGUUGGUAGAGUAUGGCACUUGUAACACCACAGUUGUGGGUUUGAUUCCCAC